rnacentral:other from 1 species
CGGCGCCUGCUGUAUACGUGAUAGAACUAUAUGUGCCGAGCCAACAUUCUCCAUAGGGGAGUCUAUCUUUGGCAGUCAAUGUAAUAGGCCUGAGCCAAAACAGCGGUUGUCAAGCGAUUCCCGACCUGUAAUUUGCAGGUUCGAGACACUAUGGCUACACGGUACAGUGGGUUUGUU